UUGAAAGGGAAACGAUUGAAGUCAGUCGUGCUGGCGCGAAAUCAACCUUCUCGUCUUGAGAUCACAUGGCGUGGCGAGCCUCAAAACCGUCACGAAGCGUGAACUCUUGGUGAAAUGGUGCACUUUUGUGUCGGCUGGUUAGCAUCAAUUUCGACCGUCAUAAAAAGGCUGGGGGGAUGUGGCUCCUUCGGGAGUGUUAUAACCCUUAGCGGAAUGUGGUGGACGAGAUUGAGGUUUGCAACGGGUGCUGCUUNGCCUGGCCUCUCGCCGGCGUCUUGGCGGCGACAGCUUGCUACGUCGUUAGGAACCGCAGACGAAAAGGUUAGAGCGGAGCGCUUCGUUAAGGAUGUUGACGUA
rnacentral:rRNA from 1 species